UUCGUGGUCGAGUGGCAAAUACACUUGCCUCUCACAUUGAAGUCCCGGGUUCGAUCCCCGGUAGAGAAG